UACGGAGGGGGCGAGCGUUAUUCGGAAUUAUUGGGCGUAAAGGGCGCGUAGGCGGCUGUACAAGUCAAAGGUGAAAUCCCUCGGCUCAACUGAGGAACUGCCUUUGAAACUGUACGGCUUGAGGCCGGGAGGGGGUAGCGGAAUUCCCAGUGUAGCGGUGAAAUGCGUAGAUAUUGGGAGGAACACCAGUGGCGAAGGCGGCCACCUGGACCGGUUCUGACGCUGAUGCGCGAAAGCGUGGGGAGCAAACAGG
rnacentral:rRNA from 1 species